CUUCGACCAGGUUGGCCGUAAGCUAACGUAAGUACGUAUACAGACGUGUACUCCUGGCUCCAAGUGGUAUCUCUGUUCUGGGCCUUGCUUACUGGUCUGAUGCUUGAUAAACUAUUAACCAGGGCGACCCAAAACGACAAAGAGCACUGCUUCGUGGUUCCAUUCUUCUUGACUGUUUUGGCAGGCGUCAUCGUAUCCAUAGCGUGUAUCAUCCCCAUUAUCGAGAUGCAGCUUGUGGCCGUUGUCUUUCAUUCUGUGUUGAAAACCGGUACUUUCGCCGUGCAUUUUGCAUUCGUGGUAUCUGCUUUUCCAAAGGAACAUUUUGGAAAAGCAUUUGGAAUUCAAGUUACCGUCAGUGGUUUGCUGACCUUUAUUGAAUUGCCAAUAUUUUCCUGGUACAAGCACAGCUUGGAAAGUGACCCACUUUGGUUGGGAGUACUGUUUCUGGGAAUAUGCUUCACGGCCAGCUGUUUGCCUUUCUACCUUCUUUGGCGUAAGCGUCGAUACACUAGAUCUAGCAACUACACGCUUUAAAACAAAGUUUUGAAAAUGAAGGUCAACAUGCAGGAUCAGUACAUGUAGUGACACAGGACUGGACGAUUGAUCCAAUAGGAUACUCAGACCACAUACCCAUACCUAGAUCGAUCUGGCAAGAUCGACCGAUCUCCGAGGUGAUUCUCGCUCAGCGUAAACGGUUUAGAUGUAAGGCACGCCUACUGAAGCUGUUAAACGAUAGUUAAGUACCCCCGAACAGCUUCAAUAGACGUGCCAGACAUCAGAGCCGCUUACGCUGAGUGCAAUCUAGCGAGAAACCUCUCAUAGAUGGGUCGAUCCUGCUAGAUCGAUCUAUAUGUAUGGAAAUGGAGUCUUACUGUUCAAGAAGGCAAAAUGAUUGACUUUGAUUUGCAAAAGUGACCAUUGUCCUAGAUUUUGACCCCCCUUAUGUCAUGCUAACCCUUAACUGCAUGAAAUAAACGAAAGGCGAAACCAAUCUACGAACCCUCAAUUUUCGACAAACCAGCAUGAAACACCUUGGGGACACCAAACUAUGUAAAUUUCUCAUGUUCACGUAUGUCUCAAAAUGAUAAGUAAUGGACGCUCGGUUCACUUGCUAUCAUCACAAAUGUACACUGUGCACGUAGGUUAAUAGAAGUAGCACAUACUGUACAUACCAGUAUACAAAGUUAGUUUUAUAUAAUUAAAGACCGUUUCCGCCAAGGAAAAUGUACCACUACAUUAAAUGCGCCCAAUUGCAAAAAUAUGAUAUUAAUUAUAAUAUAUUUUAGAUAUUGUUUCUGAAUACUAGGAAAAUACACAGAAUGUUUAUGAUCCAAAGUUCGAAAUAAAUUGUGAGUGCCGGAGC